rnacentral:ncRNA from 2 species
GACUCAUCCAGAGAGGCGGAGGGACCGGCCCGAUGAAGCCUCGGCAACCAAUCCGCUCACGCGGAGCAGGUGCCAAAUCCGGCAGACCCCCGAAAAUAAUCCGGGGCGGUCUGGAAGAUGAGGA